rnacentral:rRNA from 1 species
CCUACGGGAGGCAGCAGUGGGGAAUCUUGCGCAAUGGGCGAAAGCCUGACGCAGCAACGCCGCGUGCGGGAAGAAGGCUUUCGGGCUGUAAACCGCUUUCAGCAGGAACGAAAAUGACGGUACCUGCAGAAGAAGGAGCGGCCAACUAUGUGCCAGCAGCCGCGGUGAUACAUAGGCUUCAAGCGUUGUCCGGAUUUAUUGGGCGUAAAGAGUUCGUAGGCGGUCGAGUAAGUCGGGUGUGAAAAUUCUGGGCUCAACCCAGAGACGCCACCCGAUACUGCUUGACUUGAGUUCGAUAGGGGAGUGGGGAAUUCCUAGUGUAGCGGUGAAAUGCGCAGAUAUUAGGAGGAACACCGGUGGCGAAGGCGCCACUCUGGAUCGAUACUGACGCUGAGGAACGAAAGCAUGGGUAGCAAACAGGAUUAGAUACCCUGGUAGUCCAUGCCGUAAACGGUGGGCACUAGGUGUGGGUUUCUAUUAACGAAAUCCGCGCCGUCGCUAACGCAUUAAGUGCCCCGCCUGGGGAGUACGGUCGCGAAGCUAAAACUCAAAUGAAUUGACGG